GUAAUUAUCCAGUUGAUAUUUAUCUUGUUCCAGUCACCUUAAGAAAGCUGUUUGGCAAGGGCAGUGACUGGAAGCUGGGAGAGAGGGUCAACAGCUGAAUCUCAGCCUGAUGGAGGCCACCAUUUAAUAAGUAAAUACAUGCACAGCUAUUUAGAUCCUGCAUCAGACCGCUUCCUCAGACAGGUCAUCAGAAAACAUGAAGCUAAAUGCAGUAAAGAAUUACUCUCUUGAACUCUUGAAAAUAUCAUUUUCUUAUAGAAAUGGUUUAAAAAUUUCUUUUUUAUUAUUUUCCUUCAGAAAAUUGUGAGUUUUAACCUACAACACGUACACUCCAAGGUAAUGCCACUCUAAUGCUGUCUAGUUGAUCUGAAUAACUGGUAAAUUAUCAGAUCCACCAAACUCUCUGGAGAUUAACUUCUGCCAGCAUAUUGGUUUCUGUUCAUUUUCACAAGAUUGACAGGCUCAUUACGGCAAUAUUAACAUCUUCCUUUAAGCACUCACACUGUGCAAUUGUAAUUUUGCAUAUGUUGAUGAGCAGGCAAUUAUAUCAAAGAGUGAACAUUGGGCUGAUGUGCAAGGCACUAUUUAAUUAUAAAAACAGUAUAGGAUUGAGCCCUGUCAUUGAGUCUUCCAUUCCUUCUAUCUCGCCUGUUUCUAAUUUAUUUCUCUAUUUCUUCCUUGACUGUCUUCAUUCUCUGCUUUUUAUUCCUUUCUCCUUCAUUCCCUCUCCAUAAAUGACAGACCUUUUCUUAGAUGCCAUUUCUCUAUGUCUGCGCUUAAGACAAGAAUUUUUUCCUCCUAGUUGUUGGUUAAUGUCUGCAAAUGUGAGAGCAUGUUAACAUGACAAACAACAAGGAAUUUGAAAUAAACUUAAAUGAAACA
rnacentral:antisense_RNA from 1 species